AAAUAAAAAUUAUUAAAAAAAAAAGAAUAAAGAAUUUACAGCGUGAUGUAUUUUAAAAGGAAGUUUGUUGCUGUGGGGGAGACCGUCACCGGUACCGUUACCGUUUUACUUGGCCAAUAAAAAGUUUUACCGUUGAAGGGGAAAAUAAUAAUAAUAAAAGACUGCCGUACAAAUUGCAACCGGAGCUUACUCGUCCGUACUAACGUGUGGU
rnacentral:misc_RNA from 1 species